GCAGCGCCGUGAGCGCGGUGGGAGGACGGCGUGGGCACGAGCGAAGGCGGGGCCAGGCGAAUGUGGGAGUUUGCGAGCGAGGGAGUGGGUGCCGGUACUCUGAUGUAUGGGGUGAAGUGGGGGCUUUGCCUGGAACACAUGGCUUCCAGGGCUAGACUCCGCCUGGUGGAGCGACGGCCACUUCUCAGGCUCUGAGGCCGCGGCGGCGGUCUUACACCUGCCCCUUUCAUCCCAAAAGUGGCGGGCGGGUGCUGGGGAGGGUGGUUGACCCCGCAGAGCCCCUAGGCAAAGCCCCGGGGAGCAGGUGCUUCCUGCCCCGGCUCACCCGGCAGGUUAGGCGCAGAAUGGACACCCAGAUUGAGGGCUCUAGACUUUAAACCCCUAAUCCUCAUUUUGAAUGCCUCAGUCUGAUUCUCACAGGACAAUGUUGGGAAAAGGGCACUGGACCAGAGUUAAAGAAAUUGGGGUUCUAGUCCAGGCCCUGCCCUACCACCCACCAGCUGAGAAAGCUGGGUCAAUUCACCCUCUUCUGUCUUUGCCUCAGCUUCCUGGGCUAAGUUGGGGGCCGGCCUGAGUGGUCUCCGAGGGCCAGCAGGUCAGCAGGGCCCCUCUCUCGCCAGGGUGGCAGACCCUGGAAGACUCCUCCUUCUGUUCUCCACUCUUCUGCUCAGGAGAGCCCUGGUUGCUCAAGCUUCUUGCCUUUCAGCUCCCACCGGCCCUACACGGGACAGUCCCCUGCAGUGGGUAUGGAGUACCGGCACUCAAACCCUGGGCUCUGGGAGGGGAGGCCCUCAGAGGAAUGGGUCUGCUGUCAGGGUCUCCAUGGGGUAACAGGGAAGGGCUUCUUUGGAGAGAAGUGAGGGCCCUGGUCCAGACCCAGGAGCUGGGUGUCCCCAGGUCAGCAUCAGCAGGAUGUUCAUGAGACGUGGGGUGGGGUGGACAGUCCCAGCCCUCAAAGAUCUCCCUAGGACUUUACCGGCUUCCACCUCAGCGAGGGGCAAUUGGGUGGUCCUGGGAGAGGGACUCCCAGCUGAGUGAGCCCUGCCGCUACCCAGGGCUCAACCCUGAACCCUCAUCUUGCAGGAUGUGCCUUCAGGGCCCCUUGGGUCUCCCCCUGGGGAGUCACUGUGGGGGAAUGUCAGCUAAGGGCGGCUCCAGCCUUUCUCCCUCAACCCCUUUCCGUCAUUCACCGUUGCUCUAAUCUUUCCUUUCAAGAGGGAAUUUCUCAGCUAAGACAAAAUUGAAAAUUCAAAAGCGCUGUAUCAGUCUGACUGUGAAGUGGGCUGAUAAAAGCCCAUAGGAUUGUUUUGAGGAUUAGAUGACUCAAUACCUGGAAAGCACUUUGUAUUUAAAGAAAUGGGAGCUAUUAAUAUUACCACACUGGGGAGAGGAAAGGGUGAGGUGGGGAGGGGCCUGCCUGCAGCUCUGCAGGGAGGCAGGAGCAGAGAGUCGGAAAUCCUCCCCAGUCUCCUCCCUGAGGCCACAUGACCUCAGGGCCUCUGCUGCCAGCUUUGCAGAGCGUGUUUUCCCAGCUCUAGAGCUCCUCAUUUAAGACAAGCGCCUGGUUCUCCUCAUCCAGGAAGGGGGUCUUGAGGUGCCUUGUGGCCCUGCUGCCCCACUGCUGCGGGAGGUCAGAGCCUGCUUCCAGGUUUGUGCUAGAGCCACUGUCUGCCGUCCCCUCAGCUGGCUUUCCCGGGCCUGCAGGCUGGACCCCCAGUCUGUACCUCGGACACCCUCCUCUGCUGUUUUCUCUGAUGGGGUCUGUCUCUCAGGGACCUGCUCAUGUCUUUACAUUUACCUUGAAAGCUAACAUGGACUGUGUGCUGUGUGCCAGGUGUGAUGACUGAGCUGCCCAUGAGGCUGGUACACAAAGUGUAAAUUCAUUCAUUUACGGAGGGCGUGUGGUGGUGUGGGUGCUCUCGCCCACCAGGGCAGGCCUGCCUCUCCCGAGUCAUGGUGCGUAGGGUCCUGAGAUGUCCCAACUGCUUAGCAUCCUCAUUCCUAACUCCCCUUUCUGACCUGGGAGCCCUCCUGAGCUCUCCCUGGCCCACCUGCUGGCCAAGUCCCUUGUCCCUUUCCUGGGGUCUCCUGCCCAUCUGCUGACCUCCCCGUGAAUGUGCUGUGCGUGGCCUCUGCGUUCCAUGGCCCUACUCUUCUCUCCUCAGAGGUGGCCCACACACCCUGACCCUCGUUCCUUCCUGGAUGGCCAAAACCCAAGACAGGGCUUCAGACCCUGGGAAACCUUCUUGACCCCCCGGUGGACUGAUGACCCUUCUCUGACCUUCCCCAGCAUCAGGGGCUUUGUUCCUAUCACGGGACUCAUGUCACUGGGUUGAGUCUGGCCAUCUUUCUCCCCAUGAGAUUUGCGUUCCAGACACCCAGCCAGUGCUUAUGUCAUAGCAAGUGCUUGAGAAAUGUCGCUCGAGUGGAUGAGUGAGUUAAUUUGACUCUACUCAUGAGUGUGACACUCUUGUCCAGAUCCACUGGUUCCCUUCCUUCCUCAUUCCGCUGAGCAAUGUGGAACCAGCGCUAGACUCAGUCCUCUCAUGGCCAGCAUCCCAGGCCCUGUGCUGUCCGCUCCCCAGCCAGGUGGUCUGUUUUCAGAUAGCUCACGUAUCAGUUCCUAGUUUCCAAUAGCUGGUGUAACAAAUUGCCACAAACUUAGCCACUUAGGACAAUGCCCCUUUAUGAUCUCCCAGUUUCUCUAACUCAGGGUCUGGGCGUAGGGUGGCUUGGCUGGUGCUCUGCUUGGGUCUCAGGUCAAGGUCAAGGUGUUGGCCGGGCUGCGUUCCCUCCGGAGGCUCCGGUGCUGAGUCUGCUUCCAAGUUUGUUGGCAGAAUUUAGUUGCAUGCUUGUAGGACUCAGGCUCCCAUUUCCUUGCUAGCUGUCAGGUGGAUGUCAUUCUCAGCCACCUGCAUCUCCUGGCUUGUCGCCUCCUUCAGAGCCACCAACGGUAGGUCGAGUCCUUCUCAGGCUGUUGAAUUUCUCCGAGACUCGACGCUUUGCUGCAUCUCUCUUCUGCCUUCUCUGUUUUUAAGAGCUCAUGUGAUUACAUUGGGCCCAGCCAGAUAAUCCAGGAUCAUCUCUAUUUUAAGGGCAGCCUAUUAGUAACCUUAAUGCCAUCUGCAAAGUCCCUUCACAGCAGUACCUUGAUUAGUGUUUGAUUGAAUAACCAGGGUGGACGGGUGGGAAUGCUGGACAUCUUUAGAAUCCUGCACAGUACCAGCUGUCAGGCCCAGCGCAGCUCCUCCUACUCUAAGCAAGGGGAGAGCCUGACCGUGAGGGGCCAGUGCUCUGGGAGAGCUGGGUUUCCAAAGAGAGCCCUUGCCCCAGUGCCCUCUAUACACAGACCAGGGGGACAGCACUGGGAUCCCCUUGCUGAAUGUCCUGAGUAGGUCUUGGGGCAGGGGGAUGACCUGUACAGAAAGCCCAGGGGAUAUUUUCCCUUUAGGACCCAUUUAUGGAUUUGCUCACAUCAGCUUCUUCAUGAGGAAGCCACAGCUCCUGGCCCUUUGCAUCAGCCUCAGCACCCACCACUACCCCUGGGCCCCCAGUCCCUAAGCGUAGCAGGCGCUCACCUCUUCCUGCAAUAGCCUCCUCCCCACUCUCCGUGCUUCCCCCGCUGCCCACACACACUCGUCAGUGUGGUAGUGUGCCCAUGGACUCUGGAACCCCAAGGCCAGGGUGUGAAUCCUGGCACUGCUGUCUCCAAGCUCUGUGACCUUGGCAAGUGACCGAGCGCCAGCCCCCAUCUGUGAAAUGGAGAUAACCUCAGAAAAUUGUGAGGGUACAAUGAAACAGUGUACAAAAACCCGGACUAUGCUCAAUUAUCCCAUCCCAUUGGUGGCUGUUGUUACUGCCUUGGCCACAGAUGAGGUGUCCCUUCGUCUGUGGGCCUGUCCUCGCUGCCGUGUGGUCGGCCCAGGGCUUACCCCACAGGAGAUGGGGAUCCUGUGUUUGCUCAUCUGACUGUCCCAGGGCACUGUGACUCUGCCAAGGGCAGGGCCGCAUCUACUCUGGAUCCACAGUUUCCAGCACAGGCCUCUACAUAAUAAGCGGAUCCAGGAAAGCACAGGCGGGCAGGAAGCCUGGAGCUGAUGUGGCAUCUUUUCCCCGUGCUGAACAGUGGAGCAAGGUCAGCCCCGUGAGACAGGGCAGCCUGUCUAAAGCCAGUCUGUCUCGGGUUUGCAGGGAGGUGUUCCUGGGCCUGAGUGAGGACCUCCGGGAGCCCACCAGCUCCUCAGGCUGCACUGUGUCAUCUGAAGCUGACUUUCAGGGGCUGUGGUGGCAAAGGCACUAACCUCAUGUCACAGAUGGGGAGACUGGAUAGAAUGAGGCCCAACACCCUGGCCAUGGUUCUCUGCUAAACGGGAGGCUACAGACUUUCUACUGAGCCCUCCUGUUGGUCCAGCUGGUAUCCUGGCCCUGUUUAUGGGCUCAGUCCGGUGAGAAUGACCCCUCCUUGAAGAGCCAGACUCUGGUUGGGACCCCUUGAGACUUAGCAGCUUUUCCUUAACUCAUGUAUUCAUUUAACAAAUAUGUUCCAAGCAUCUGCCUUGUGACCUAGGCCCUGUUCUGACAUAGGAUGCCACAGUGAACAGUUUCUACAACUUCUCCCAUGCUGGCCCUGUCUCAGUUCAGUUGUCACCUCCUCCAAGAAGUCCUCCUUGACCACCCCACUUGAAGUCAUCCCCGACCCUACUUAUGUCACCCUGUUUUAUUUCUCCUAUUUCUUAUAUGGUCGCUAAAUACAUGCUCGCUUUAGGAAAAUCUGUAAAACGCAGAGUCAUUUUUAAAAAAGCCCUUUCCACCUAUAGACAGUCACUGUUAACAUUUUAGUGUAUUCCCUUCCAGUUGGUCAUCUCUGCAAAGACAUGUUGUUGCCCACAUGCCAUUUUAUUCUGCUUGUUUGCUUAGCAUUAAUUCUGAGGCUUGCUUAUUUUCACAUUUGGACAUCUCAAGCUUGCACAUAAGAUUGCUGGUGUUUCACAGGUGCCGUCAGCCUGUGCUGAAAUUCAGCUCUUCCAAAGGGGAGUCUUACUUGCUUCCGACAGUCACCUGGGGGCACUGCCCACUUGAGAGGAUUGUACAGUAAACUUAAAUUCAGUUACACAUUUGCUUGAGGUGUUUUCAGACCAUGUCUGUAGUGCACAUUCAGACUCCAUCCUGUAUGAGGACGGGCUCGGGCUCCUUCGUGUUCGCAGGGACGGUUUUCUUCCCCCCCUGCACCCGGGGCCAAGGCUGACACACAAUUUCUGCCUGACGGGGCUGUUAUCAUUCCCCCUACAUGGAGGGAAUAGCCCUUGGGGUCCCAGCUUUACUUAGAUGCCUCUUGUUAGACAACCCAUCCCGGGUAUUUUUUCUUCCUUUGUGGUUCUUGAAAUAGUGGCGUGUCUUAUAAUCAGUAGUGUCUUAAAUGUGAUGAAGUUCUAGAAAUACAAACAUUUCUCAGAUUAACACGAACACGUUGCGAGUGUCUUUUUAAUGGCUGCACGAUAUUACUCACAGGGUUGUCUGACGCUUCACUCACCCCUUCCGUGGCUGUCUUGGGAUUAUUGCUGCUCUUUGCUGAGAUAAGCGGCACUGUGGUCUUUCUUAGUACGCACAGCUUCCUUCUCUUUCAGAUGCUUUCUUUAGGUUAAUUCCCAGAAUCACAUUACCAGUUGAAGGAAUGAAAAUUCUGAAGACCCUUGAUAAUCAAGCCCGUGUUUUCAGAGGCUGAUUUGUUUUCUUUCUUCUGUGUUUUUGUAGAAACAGUCAGUGCCACCACAAGUUGGCUACGAAUCUGCCUUUAACUGGCAGAGCUGGUCGAGCGAUUUCAGUCUGGAAAACUCCAAAAAAGUGGAGAAUUAACGUUAACGAGGUAAUCCUCAGUUCUGCUUGCACCUGGAUUUGUGGUAAAUUCAGAGACAGUGCGACCUGGAUGAUUGAUGGUUUACUGGGGCAGAACAAGUUGUGAAAUUUUCAUCCUAAUUUUCCUCUGGGUUGCCUUUCAUUCUUUCAUUGACUGGUACAAAGUAGGAAACACUAAUAAACAAACAAAUAAAGUAAA